CCUACGGGCGGCAGCAGUCGAGAAUUUUUCUCAAUGGGCGAAAGCCUGAAGGAGCGACGCCGCGUGGAGGAUGAAGGUCUUCGGAUUGUAAACUCCUGUCAUUCGGGAACAAUGCGUGCGCGUUAACUGCGCGCACGUUGAUAGUACCGGAAGAGGAAGAGACGGCUAACUCUGUGCCAGCAGCCGCGGUAAUACAGAGGUCUCAAGCGUUGUUCGGAUUCAUUGGGCGUAAAGAGCUCGUAGGCGGUUUGGCAAGUCAGGUGUGAAAUCUCCGGGCUCAACUCGGAGAGGCCACCUGAUACUGCUAUGACUUGAGUCCGGUAGGGGACCAUGGAAUUCCUGGUGUAGCGGUGAAAUGCGCAGAUAUCAGGAGGAACACCGGUGGCGAAGGCGGUGGUCUGGGCCGGAACUGACGCUGAGGAGCGAAAGCGUGGGGAGCG
rnacentral:rRNA from 1 species